AUUAAGUCUUGUCUUGACGUGUUAAUUACGUAAAGUACGAAUAUGCCAAUCUUCUAUGAAUGCUUUUAUACGCUGCUAAUGGUGGUGCUACAAUCAAGUUUAGCGUCCCAACAUUCUGAGAUUGCCGCUAAAAUUGUUGGGCAAAAGCAAGUGGCGGAAGGUUGCAGCAGCACACGCCAAGAUUGGAGCAUUGUGCGAGGAAAACGGACGCAUGACGCGAACACAUUCGCGAGACGCUUAUUUUUCAGAGGCGAGGCGAGCUGGCGAACGUGUCCCCCACCACAGCAUGACAGUGACCCAAAUGGUGCGCCGGCGCAGUCAGUUCCGUGAGCCUGUGUCGCCUGCUCGCCCGCGCUCGAGCUCCACACCACGUUCUCUCGCGUAGCCGUACGCCGACAUUCAGUGUGAUUACCUUAUGAUUUUACUGUGCAAAAUGCUGUGAGUGACCGCCGUUCACGUGCCGUAGUUUGACACGGAUGGAUAAUUUUUAAAUAAAGGUGUUUUGCUUACUGAAUAAUGACAAAUGUCAAGUGAUCAACAAAAAUUCGUCGGAGAUGGUAAUAGUGAGCGACGCACGGUGCGGCGGUAGUCGGGAGACAUCGUUAGGAGUACCCGGGCGGAUCCCAGGUGGCCGUAUAUCAGGAGAGAUAGGGCAGCACGC